rnacentral:rRNA from 1 species
CCUACGGGUGGCAGCAGUGAGGAAUAUUGGUCAAUGGACGAGAGUCUGAACCAGCCAAGUCGCGUGAAGGAUGACUGCCCUAUGGGUUGUAAACUUCUUUUAUAUGGGAAUAAAACGUUCCACGUGUGGGAUUUUGUAUGUCCCAUAUGAAUAAGGAUCGGCUAACUCCGUGCCAGCAGCCGCGGUAAUACGGAGGAUCCGAGCGUUAUCCGGAUUUAUUGGGUUUAAAGGGAGCGUAGGUGGAUUGUUAAGUCAGUUGUGAAAGUUUGCGGCUCAACCGUAAAAUUGCAGUUGAAACUGGCAGUCUUGAGUACAGGAGAGGUGGGCGGAAUUCGUGGUGUAGCGGUGAAAUGCUUAGAUAUCACGAAGAACUCCGAUUGCGAAGGCAGUUCACUGGACUGCAACUGACACUGAGGCUCGAAAGUGUGGGUAUCAAACAGGAUUAGAUACCCCAGUAGUC